CAAGUGCGACCUCUGAACGGGUUAUUAUAAUAUGAAUAAAAAAAUUUCAGAUUUUGGAUUGGCACGAAUCGUUGAAGUGACAGAGUAUAGCAAAUACGCACAAGGUCGUGGAAACACGUAUGUCUCCAAAGUAUGCCAUGGGUGCGAUAUUUUCUGAAAAAUCUGAUGUCUAUAGUUUUGACGUCUUGCUAUUGGAGAUUAUCGCCAACAAAAAGAAUACUAGCUUCUAUUGCAACGAGGAACAGCAUGGAUUCUUAGCUCAUGCAACAUUCACGAUAUGACUUUUGCCGGGUUCGGCACUUAUGGAAUGAAGGCAGGGGACUGGACUUGCUAGAUGAAGUACUGUUGGAUUCAUAUUCGUCCUCAGAAGCAAUGAGAUGCAUACACAUCGG